rnacentral:rRNA from 1 species
AGCGAACGCUGGCGGCAGGCUUAACACAUGCAAGUCGAGCGGGCACUUUCGGGUGUCAGCGGCGGACGGGUGAGUAACGCGUGGGAACGUGCCCUCUGGUUCGGAAUAACUCAGGGAAACUUGAGCUAAUACCGGAUACGCCCUUUUGGGGAAAGGCUUGCUGCCGGAGGAUCGGCCCGCGUCUGGUUAGCUAGUUGGUGAGGUAACGGCUCACCAAGGCGACGAUCAGUAGCUGGUCUGAGAGGAUGAUCAGCCACACUGGGACUGAGACACGGCCCAGACUCCUACGGGAGGCAGCAGUGGGGAAUAUUGGACAAUGGGCGCAAGCCUGAUCCAGCCAUGCCGCGUGAGUGAUGAAGGCCUUAGGGUUGUAAAGCUCUUUUAUCCGGGACGAUAAUGACGGUACCGGAGGAAUAAGCCCCGGCUAACUUCGUG